rnacentral:rRNA from 1 species
GUUGUAUGGUUAAGUGACUAAGCGUACACGGUGGAUGCCUGGGCAGUCAGAGGCGAUGAAGGACGUACUAACUUGCGAUAAGCGCAGAUAAGGCAGUAAGAGCCGUUUGAGUCUGCGAUUUCCGAAUGGGGAAACCCAACUGCAUAAGCAGUUACUGUUAACUGAAUACAUAGGUUAACAGAGCAAACCGGGGGAACUGAAACAUCUAAGUACCCCGAGGAGAAGAAAUCAACCGAGAUUCCGGUAGUAGCGGCGAGCGAACCUGGAUUAGCCCUUAAGCACUCGGUGAAGUAGGUGAACAAGCUGGAAAGCUUGGCGAUACAGGGUGAUAGCCCCGUAACCGACGCUUCAUCGAGCGUGAAAUCGAGUAGGGCGGGACACGUGAUAUCCUGUCUGAAUAUGGGGGGACCAUCCUCCAAGGCUAAAUACUCCUGACUGACCGAUAGUGAACCAGUACCGUGAGGGAAAGGCGAAAAGAACCCCUGUGAGGGGAGUGAAAUAGAACCUGAAACCGUGUACGUACAAGCAGUAGGAGCACCUUCGUGGUGUGACUGCGUACCUUUUGUAUAAUGGGUCAGCGACUUAUAUUCAGUGGCAAGGUUAACCGUAUAGGGGAGCCGUAGCGAAAGCGAGUCUUAACUGGGCGCUCAGUCUCUGGAUAUAGACCCGAAACCGGGUGAUCUAGCCAUGGGCAGGUUGAAGGUUGAGUAACAUCAACUGGAGGACCGAACCGACUAAUGUUGAAAAAUUAGCGGAUGACUUGUGGCUAGGGGUGAAAGGCCAAUCAAACUCGGAGAUAGCUGGUUCUCCCCGAAAGCUAUUUAGGUAGCGCCUCGGACGAAUACUACUGGGGGUAGAGCACUGUUAAGGCUAGGGGGUCAUCCCGACUUACCAACCCUUUGCAAACUCCGAAUACCAGUAAGUACUAUCCGGGAGACACACGGCGGGUGCUAACGUCCGUCGUGGAGAGGGAAACAACCCAGACCGCCAGCUAAGGUCCCAAAGUAUUGCUAAGUGGGAAACGAUGUGGGAAGGCUCAGACAGCUAGGAUGUUGGCUUAGAAGCAGCCAUCAUUUAAAGAAAGCGUAAUAGCUCACUAGUCGAGUCGGCCUGCGCGGAAGAUGUAACGGGGCUAAGCAAUACACCGAAGCUGCGGCAAUAUCUUUUAGAUAUUGGGUAGGGGAGCGUUCUGUAAGCCGUUGAAGGUGAAUCGUAAGGUUUGCUGGAGGUAUCAGAAGUGCGAAUGCUGACAUGAGUAACGACAAAGGGGGUGAAAAACCUCCUCGCCGGAAGACCAAGGGUUCCUGUCCAACGUUAAUCGGGGCAGGGUGAGUCGACCCCUAAGGUGAGGCCGAAAGGCGUAAUCGAUGGGAAACGGGUUAAUAUUCCCGUACUUCUGACUAUUGCGAUGGGGGGACGGAGAAGGCUAGGUGGGCCAGGCGACGGUUGUCCUGGUUCAAGUGCGUAGGCUUGAGAGUUAGGUAAAUCCGGCUCUCUCUAAGGCUGAGACACGACGUCGAGCUGCUACGGCAGUGAAGUCAUUGAUGCCAUGCUUCCAGGAAAAGCCUCUAAGCUUCAGAUAGUCAGGAAUCGUACCCCAAACCGACACAGGUGGUCGGGUAGAGAAUACCAAGGCGCUUGAGAGAACUCGGGUGAAGGAACUAGGCAAAAUGGUACCGUAACUUCGGGAGAAGGUACGCUCUUGAUGGUGAAGUCCCUCGCGGAUGGAGCUGACGAGAGUCGCAGAUACCAGGUGGCUGCAACUGUUUAUUAAAAACACAGCACUGUGCAAAAUCGCAAGAUGACGUAUACGGUGUGACGCCUGCCCGGUGCCGGAAGGUUAAUUGAUGGGGUUAGCGCAAGCGAAGCUCUUGAUCGAAGCCCCGGUAAACGGCGGCCGUAACUAUAACGGUCCUAAGGUAGCGAAAUUCCUUGUCGGGUAAGUUCCGACCUGCACGAAUGGCGUAAUGAUGGCCACGCUGUCUCCACCCGAGACUCAGUGAAAUUGAAAUCGCUGUGAAGAUGCAGUGUACCCGCGGCUAGACGGAAAGACCCCGUGAACCUUUACUACAGCUUGGCACUGAACAUUGAACCUACAUGUGUAGGAUAGGUGG